UUGAAUGAUUGGUUGUUGAUG
rnacentral:misc_RNA from 1 species